GUUCAAACAGGGCAGUCGCAUGUGUAGGAGCUCCGGUAUCGUUUCGGCCUAUUUCUUCUAAAAGUUUGCCGCUUACAUGCUUUCUCCAACCUGUUUAAUCUCCCAAACCACCCUAUCGGCAACACGUGGCUUAAGCAUGUAUUGAUAUCAUAUAUGGGCAUAAACCCUCGACCAAUCAGCAUCAAGGAUAAGCCACUUCCUCUUAUGACGUCAGAAGCGGAGAAUUAAGCUCCGCCCAAUGUACCAGGUCCUCCAGUGCUGUCAGUGGACAAACAGGAGGUGACGGGUGUGGAUGGAGACAGUGUCAGUGUUACUAUGGAAACAACAAAAGACAUAGGAUGUGGUGUAAUAUUGGGGGUUCCUGUGCAUCAGAGAGAUCAGCGAGUUUGGAUGGGAGGCCUGUCCUGAUCAGGGAUGAAACAGAAAAUAAAACCUUCAUUGUGACAAUGAGUGGGCUGGAGAGGAAGGACACUGGCUGGCAUUGGUGUGCUGCUGGAAACCUGCAGAUUCCAGUUCAUAUAACUGUCAAACGUAAGUAAUUGAUUUAAAUCUGCCUGUGAAUCCUUUGUGCUUGAAUAUAAAUAGAUAAAUACUAAUUUUAUUUUAUUUUUGAAACCCAGCAGUUUCACUCACAAAGGGGUUUGUGCUUCUUUGUGGGGAUAUUUAUCAGCUGUUGUGAAACAAUUAUUUAUUGGGAUUAUUGUUUCAAUGAUAGUGGCACGGUGGUCCAGUAGGUGGCGCUGUUGCUUCACACCUCCAUG